UUGCUAGCUAACGUUGUGUAUGAUCUUAUUCUUUGUAUAUAAGACACAUUUGCUUGACUAGUUACAGCCAUAGAACCUGGUUGGUUAGCUACCUGCAGGGUAUUAAUGUCAUGAGUUGUAAUUAUGGUCCAUUGUUUCGCUAGCUAGCUGCAUGUCUUAACUCCACUCUAAUUUUGACAAAGUAUUUUAAUUUCAAGUUAACGUGUACUGUUAGCUAGCUAGCUAACAUUAGCUGGCUGGCUCGCUAACUAACAUUACGUCAUGCGUUGGGAUUCAUUGUUUACCUAGUUAGCUAUCUAGUUAACAAAAGACUCGUCUUAGUGUGCCAGAGCGCAGACUAACUGAUGCAUCUUUUAACGCUCAACACCCGUUGAAUAUGUCCAGUGUCAGUAAACGUUGGCAACAAAGAGUAAUUCAAUUGUUGCAAGCAGCACAGUUAGUCACCACCGCUCUUGGAUCACCUGAAAAAAAGCCUAAAGCCUAACCAGCUCUGCUAGGGCCCGUCCAGUCAACACCACCUCAUAAGAUGAGGAAGUACAUUGUUUACAAGAAUUGCCUGCUGUCGUUGUUCCAUAGUUGUCCAGUUUUCAGCCGAACAUGCAACAUAGAGAAAACCAGUAAGGGGACCCUCAGCAUCACACAGACAAGCCUUCGCUGUGAGCAUUCCUAUAAAUGUAACAGGAAGGACACUUGAAUCAGGUGCUGAUCUAUGCUGCUAUGCCCAUCAAUGGGCUGCUGGCAAAGACCUUACCUCUAGCCUCAACUCUUGCCUGCUCAACAAUGGUCGUCGAUGGGGAGACCAGAAUUAGAAACAUGAAUGGAACCAGCACAUGGAGACUUGCAAGAUGAUGUGAUUAAUCCCAGACUUAUAACCAGGCUCGAUACUGAGGACGAAUGUGGAGAGGGACCUGGAAAUCGGCAUUAUAUUUUACCAGAGACACAUUUUACUUGUAUUGUCUUUUCUUAUUAUUGAAUUGAAUGGUAACCCUGUGUAUUCUGCUCCAGGAUCAGGGAAAUCCUGUUUACGGAAUACCAAACAGGAAGCCUUGACCACUUGUUUGUCAAUGUAUCCCCAUUACCAACAGACAAAAUGUCAAUAGGCACAGUAUCUUUAUUGGCUGAGGAUGACAAUGGAAGGAGAAAUGUGUGAAUUGUUUUAGCAGAACACUGCUUCUAUGGUAUUAUGAGAAAGGGUUGUUUAUUCUACUAUACAGUGCAUUCGGGAAGUAUUCAGACCCCUUGACUUUUUCAACAUUUUGUUUCGUUACAAGCCUUAUUCUAAUAUUGAUUAAAUACUUCCCCCCCCUCAAAUCUACACACAAUUCCCCAUAAUGACAAACUGGAAAAUGUUUGCAAAUGUACUACAAAUAAAAACCAAAAAUACCUUAGUUACUUAAGUAUUCCGACCCUUUGCUAUGACACUCGAAGUUGAGCUCAGGUGCAUCCUGUUUCCAUUGAUCAUCAUUGAGAUGCUUCUCCAACUUGCAGUCCACCUGUGGUAAAUUAAAUAGCUUGGACAUGAUUUGGAAAGGCAAAAACCUGUCUAUCUAAAGGUCCCACAGUUUACAGUGCAUGUCAGUGCAAAAACCAAGCUAUGGGGUCAAAGGAAUUGUCCGUAGAGCGCCGAGAAAGGUUUGUGUUGAGGUACAGAUCUGGGGAAGGGUACCAAAACAUUUCUGCAGCUUUGAAGGUCCCCCAAGAACACAGUGGUCUUAGUCAUUCUUAAAUGGAAGAAGUUUGGAACAACCAAGACUACUCCUAGAGCAAUCGGGGGACAAAGGCCUUGGUUAGGGAGGUGACCAAGAACCCGAUGCUCACUCUGACAGAACUCCCGAGUUCCUCUGGAGAUGGGAGAACCUUCCAGAAGGACAACUCUCUCUGCAGCACUCCAGCACUUCAACCUUCUGGCUACAAAACUAUGAACAUUUUGUAAAACUGCAUAUCUAAGGCUCUGGUCUGUCCUAGGAGUGAGGGUAAAUGUAAGGCAUGUUCUCUGCUAUCCACUUUAUGUUUUCAUUAUUAUUUGGGGUAUAGGGGAGGGUCACUUGUUCCUUUUAAUAAGUAUUCGGGGAUGGUCGGGUAAAAUAUAUUUUAUUGAAGGGAGGGCCAUCCAUUUUAAUUCCAGGUAUCCCUCAUUGUAAAGUACAGUCCCUUACGUGAAGUGCUUUUCAGAUCAUUGAUUGAUGCAACUGAACUGGAAAACAAGUUUCUUGGUCACUUGUAUAUAAAACACCAAAAAUAAAACUUGAAUAUGGU